rnacentral:tmRNA from 1 species
GGCAUUGCAAAAUAACUAGCUGGUGCUAUAGUUAGUAUGUCUUUGGACUAUGAUAAUAAAAGCUGUACGCAAUAGGUGCUAUGGACUCGGGGGCGGUACCCGACACCUCCACCAACCUGAGGGGGUGAACUAGCUUUGACAUUCUCCGAAAGGUAUAAGUUUUAUCCAGCGAGACUCGGCUGCCACGUGAGUGGGAACAGUUCAAAAAUUUAAAUGCAAAGAAUGACUUUGCUAAUGUUGCAAUGGCUGCCUAGUCUUCGGACUAUAUUUCGUUAGAAAUAUCUUCACCCAAGGGUGAUUGGCUGUUGUAGCGGGGCCCGGGAGAGCCUGUCAACGGAAUCUCCCACU